UACGGAGGGCGCAAUGGGUGUUCGGAAUCACUGGGCGUAAAGCGCGUGUAGGCGGCUUGGCAAGUCGGGUGUGAAAUCCCGAGGCUCAACCUCGGAACUGCAAUCGAAACUGCUUGGCUCGAGUCCCGGAGAGGGUGGCGGAAUUCCCGGUGUAGGGGUGAAAUCCGUAGAUAUCGGGAGGAACACCAGUAGCGAAGGCGGCCACAUGGUCGGUGACUGACGCUGAGACGCGAAAGCGUGGGGAGGAAACAGG
rnacentral:rRNA from 1 species